CAUGAAUCUCAGGAUCAAUAGCAGGGCUGCACGGGUCUUUGGUCGCCAGUUGGCUCUAAUCGGAGACCAGCUGGACCAGGAGUGGGCCAGUCGACAGCUCAACUUGUUACCGAUCCCUCUGCACAUACUGAGACCUGCUCAGGCACUGACCAGGAACAUCUAUCGAGAGAUCCACAGUCAGUUAUGGAGCUUCCAGGGCUUGUCUGCUGCAGUGAAGGCCUGGAUAGCAAGCACUGCGCCUGGGCAGGGGAUCCUCAGAUGUGAGACCUGGGUGUCCAAUUUUAAAGCGGCAACUUGCACUGGCUGGACUAGAGGAGCACUGGUGACUGUGGCACUGGUGGCUGCAGUGACCGUUUUCAGUGUAUUAUGGAAGGAAGGGAAAGCCUAAGUGGCCAUGAGCAGGUCUUUCGGCCAUUAAAUAUUUAACAAAAAUAUGUUUGCAAACAAGUGAGAAUAAUUGCGAAGUGAUUUGUUUCUGCUGUUUACUUUGACUUCACUGUUUAUGUUAAUUUAAUAAGUGGUAUUGAAUUUAACACACAACUUCUUGGCAACCAGAGAGGGGGGGGGGGGGGAGUAAAAGUAUACUUGUGGGUAACUGGGAAUGUCUUGCUGAAGGAGUUGGUCAGUGUUUUGUAGCAUUAAAAUGUUGGUUCACGGUUGUAUUAAUGUCAAAGUGCUUGUUUCCCAUGACUGGACUGUUGCUGGUCUGCAGUCUUUUGUAUUCAGAUUAGUUUCUUACUGGUUUAAGAGGCCAUAAUUUUUUUACAAAUGAUAUGUAGACUGGUUUAAUAUAAAAUGAAGGGAGCUGGACUUUCUGUUUCAAAUUUGAAAAUGCUUUUUUCACGUAAUGCAAAUAAACUUCAUAA